rnacentral:rRNA from 1 species
UACGGAGGGGGCGAGCGUUGUCCGGAAUCACUGGGCGUAAAGGGCGCGUAGGCGGCCUGAUAAGUAGGGGGUGAAAUCCUGCGGCUUAACCGCAGGGCUGCCUUCUAAACUGUCAGGCUAGAGCACAGUAGAGGCAGGUGGAAUUCCCGGUGUAGCGGUGGAAUGCGUAGAGAUCGGGAAGAACAUCAGUGGCGAAGGCGGCCUGCUGGGCUGUUGCUGACGCUGAGGCGCGACAGCGUGGGGGAGCAAACAGG